rnacentral:lncRNA from 1 species
AUGGACACACGGACACGGGGAUGGACACGGGGAUGGACACACGGACACGGGAUGGACACGGGGAUGGACACACGGACACGGGAUGGACACACGGACACGGGGAUGGACACGGGGAUGGACACGGGGAUGGACACGGGGAUGGAGACGGGGAUGGACACGGGGAUGGACACGGGGAUGGACACUCGGACACAGGAUGGACACACGGACACGGGGAUGGACACGGGGAUGGACACAGGGAUGGACACACGGACACGGGGAUGGACACGGGGAUGGACACGGGGAUGGACACACGGACACGGGGAUGGACACGGGGAUGGACACGGGGAUGGACACGGGGAUGGACACACGGACACGGGGAUGGACACGGGGAUGGACAUGGGGAUGGACACGGGGAUGGAGACGGGGAUGGAGACGGGGAUGGACACGGGGAUGGACACACGGACACGGGAUGGACACACGGACACGGGAUGGACACAGGGAUGGACACGGGGAUGGACACGGGGAUGGACACGGGGAUGGAGACGGGGAUGGACAUGGGGAUGGACACGGGGAUGGACACGGGGAUGGACACACGGACACGGGAUGGACACGGGGAUGGACACGGGGAUGGACACACGGACACGGGAUGGACACACGGACACGGGGAUGGACACGGGGAUGGACACGGGGAUGGACACACGGACACGGGAUGGACACGGGGAUGGACACGGGGAUGGACAUGGGGAUGGACAUGGGGAUGGACACACGGACACGGGGAUGGACACGGGGAUGGACACAGGGAUGGAGACGGGGAUGGACACGGGGAUAGACACACGGACACGGGGAUGGACACGGGGAUGGACACGGGGAUGGACACACGGACACGGGAUGGACACGGGGAUGGACACGGGAUGGACACGGGGAUGGACAUGGGGAUGGACACACGGACACGGGAUGGACAUGGGGAUGGACACGGGGAUGGACACGGGGAUGGACACACGGACACGGGACGGACACGGGAUGGACACACGGACACGGGAUGGACACACGGACACGGGAUGGACACGGGGAUGGACACGGGGAUGGACACACGGACACGGGAUGGACACACGGACACGGGGAUGGACACGGGGAUGGACACGGGGAUGGACACACGGACACGGGAUGGACACGGGGAUGGACACGGGGAUGGACACGCUGAUGGACACGGGGAUGGACACGGGGAUGGACACGGGGAUGGACACACGGACACAGGGAUGGACAUGGGGAUGGACACACGGACACGGGGAUGGACAGAUGGACACGGGGAUGGACAUACGGACACGGGAUGGACAUGGGGAUGGACACACAGACACGGGGAUGGACACACGGACACGGGCAUGGACACAGGCAUGGACAUGGGGAUGGACACGGGGAUGGACACGGGGAUGGACACACAGACACGGGGAUGGACAGAUGGACACGGGGAUGGACACGGACAUGGACAUGGACACGGGAUGGACACGGGGAUGGACACACAGACAUAGGGAUGGACAUGGGGACACGGGGAUGGACACAUGGAUGGACGCAUGGACACGGGGAUGGACGCACGGACACGGGGAUGGACACGGACAUGGACAUGGACACGGGGAUGGACAUGGGGAUGGACACGGGGAUGGACACGGGGAUGGACACACAGACAUGGAGAUGGACAUGGGGACAUGGGGAUGGACACAGGUGUGGACAUGGGUAUGGACACGGGGACGGACACAUGGACAUGGGCAUGGACACACGGACAUGGGGAUGGACACAUGGAUGGACACAUGGACAGACAUGGGAACGGACAGAUGGACAGACACAGGAUGGACACAGGGACACGGGGUGGACGGAUGGACAGGGGGAUGGGCACGGGGACAUGGGGGGGAGACGGACAUGGGGGGACACGGAGGGACCGAGGGAUGGACAGAUGGACACAGGGCUGGGGGAUGGACAGAGGGACACUGGGGGACAUGGAGGGACUGA